GAGGCCACGAGCUAGUAUCUUGAGGCCACAACUUAGUAUCUUGAGGCCACGAGUUAACUUAUCUUGAGGCCACGAGUUAGUUAUUUUAAUUUUUUUUGACUAAGUGGUUCCAGAAGGGCUCCGUAGGAUUCUGCUUCUCCACAAGUCUCUCAUGAGCAGUCAAAUCGGUCCCGCACUCCAUCCAUGGACUCCAGUGACUCACAGGACACAGUCAUUAUUGAAGAAACUUCCUCAAGUAAACGAAUGAGGCUAGACGAAGAAGCUAAAAAGGUGGGUAUCAAUUUUUUUUUACUUUUAUAUUUUUGGGGAAUAAAGACUGGUAAAACUUAUAAAUGUAUUUUUAAAAAUGAACAUGAAUUUGAUAUUUAUUAUUGAUUUAAGUUGAUCAAUGAGAAUCAAUUUUGAAAACUAAUUUAUAUGUAUGUUUUUAUUAUAAUCUUUAAGUUGGUGGAAACCAUUCUUGUCCAGAAACCUGUUGAGGAGUGUAUAAUAACUGAGUACAACCGAACUAAGUCUUUGGGGGAUGAAACAAGGAGGAAAAUGGUUAACAUCUUGGCAGCUCACAUGACAGAAAAGAAUGGUACGUCACCAACAAGGCAGGUGAAAGAAAAAUAUGCCAGAGGAAUUGUGGCUUUGUUCCCGUACCUCAGUGACCCCUUUUCCAAAAAUGGCUACAUUAGUGUCUGCUUUGAAUUCUAAUUCUGUGUUGAAAUUUUUUCACACUUCGGGACAGGUGGUGUAUUUUGCUGUUGAAUUUAUAUACUUUUUAUCUGUAUUUUUCUCCUUCUAAUGAACAUUACUAUGAUGGCGAAAGCGGUACUGAGUACUUGGCAUGGAGAAUCAAAACUAUACAGAGAGGCUUAGCUAAAGAACGAUGUGCAUCAUUUGAAGCUCAUUUGGCUGAGGACGGCUUGCUGAGGACAACUUUCUCAAUCUCAAUCAGUUUAAUGCUGGAUUUGCACAAAGACUAUUCUUGAAAGAUGGAGCAGUUCCCUCUUUGUCUGGAGAAGGCAUUGUUUAUGGACCACAACCGAUUGAGCAAGACUUUGUUCUGAUGUUUGGAGAAGGAGUGUCAGGAAAGCUACUGGAGAACUGGACCACUGCAUUCAAGAAAAAAGUGAUUCAGCAGUGCAAAAAGCUUCCCAGCACCAGUGAUUUGGAAGAACUUCUACUAUAGCAGCUGAAUCUCCUACUGGUGACUCAGAGGGUGCUAAUUUUGGUAUGAUGUGUAAGAUACAUUUUUCACUUGAAAUAUUAAUUUGAAGUAGUGUUGAACAAAUUUUCCAAGGAACUUGAAGGUGAACGAUUUAGUCCCCAUACUUUUUUUUUUUUAUGUUCUCAAAAUUCCAGUUUGUUUU